rnacentral:rRNA from 1 species
GACGAACGCUGGCGGCGUGCUUAACACAUGCAAGUCGAACGGAAAGGCCCUGCUUUUGUGGGGUGCUCGAGUGGCGAACGGGUGAGUAACACGUGAGUAACCUGCCCUUGACUUUGGGAUAACUUCAGGAAACUGGGGCUAAUACCGGAUAGGAGCUCCUGCUGCAUGGUGGGGGUUGGAAAGUUUCGGCGGUUGGGGAUGGACUCGCGGCUUAUCAGCUUGUUGGUGGGGUAGUGGCUUACCAAGGCUUUGACGGGUAGCCGGCCUGAGAGGGUGACCGGCCACAUUGGGACUGAGAUACGGCCCAGACUCCUACGGGAGGCAGCAGUGGGGAAUAUUGCACAAUGGGCGGAAGCCUGAUGCAGCAACGCCGCGUGCGGGAUGACGGCCUUCGGGUUGUAAACCGCUUUCGCCUGUGACGAAGCGUGAGUGACGGUAAUGGGUAAAGAAGCACCGGCUAACUACGUGCCAGCAGCCGCGGUGAUACGUAGGGUGCGAGCGUUGUCCGGAUUUAUUGGGCGUAAAGGGCUCGUAGGUGGUUGAUCGCGUCGGAAGUGUAAUCUUGGGGCUUAACCCUGAGCGUGCUUUCGAUACGGGUUGACUUGAAGGAAGGUAAGGGGAGAAAUGGAAUUCCUGGUGGAAGCGGUGAAAUUCGCCAGAUUCCAGGAGGAACACCAGUGGCGAAGGCGGUUCUUUGGGCCUUUCCUGACGCUGAGGAGCGAAAAGCGUGGGGAGCGAACAGGCUUAGAUACCCUGGUAGUCCACGCUGUAAACGGUGGGUACUAGGUGUGGGGUCCAUUCCACGGGUUCCGUGCCGUAGCUAACGCUUUAAGUACCCCGCCUGGGGAGUACGGCCGCAAGGCUAAAACUCAAAGGAAUUGACGGGGCCCCGCACAAGCGGCGGAGCAUGCGGAUUAAUUCGAUGCAACGCGUAGAACCUUACCUGGGUUUGACAUGGAUCGGGAGUGCUCAGAGAUGGGUGUGCCUCUUUUGGGGUCGGUUCACAGGUGGUGCAUGGCUGUCGUCAGCUCGUGUCGUGAGAUGUUGGGUUAAGUCCCGCAACGAGCGCAACCCUUGUUCACUGUUGCCAGCACGUUAUGGUGGGGACUCAGUGGAGACCGCCGGGGUCAACUCGGAGGAAGGUGGGGAUGACGUCAAGUCAUCAUGCCCCUUAUGUCCAGGGCUUCACGCAUGCUACAAUGGCUGGUACAGAGAGUGGCGAGCCUGUGAGGGUGAGCGAAUCUCGGAAAGCCGGUCUCAGUUCGGAUUGGGGUCUGCAACUCGACCUCAUGAAGUCGGAGUCGCUAGUAAUCGCAGAUCAGCAACGCUGCGGUGAAUACGUUCCCGGG